AUAUAUAUAUAUAUAUAUAUAUAUAUAUAUAUAUAUAUAUAUAUAUGCACACACACACACAUAUAUGUAUAUAUACAUACAUACAUAUAUAUUUUUUUAUUUUCCAUAU
rnacentral:miRNA from 1 species